UUAUACAUUAAUAUAUUGUAUUAUAUUACGCAGGAUAUUAAUGUAAAAUGAUUGAUACGAUUUUAUAAAUGUUUCGUUAAUUUCGGAAUUUGUGUUUAGUACAUUGAAAAAGGAGAAUUUAUUAAUUAAUUUAUAUCAUAGCAGUCAUUGAAACACAAUUUGUUUUAAAAUUGUGAGUUUUCCUCUCCACAGAAGAUGAGAAAAAUAAUUUUUUAAUCUAUUUCAACCGCUCUCUCUCUCUUUCUCUCUCUUUCUCUCUCUCUUUCUAUCUUUUACAUGAUUAAUUAAUACACUGUUCGUGCACCAUGGAAUUGUAAAUGAUUGUUUGUUUAUAUCUUCACGUGCCUGCGUAGCCAUGUGCUCGUCGAUUCUUUUUUCGUAUGUGUCUCUAGACGUCGGUUUUUGCUAUUGCUUGGACUAUUUGUCGGAGUGUAUGUGUGAAAUAGCAUGGUUCUAGAUAUGUUUGUAUUGAAAAGGUUUUCCUGGUUUAAUAGUAGAAGUUUUUAAACAGAUGUCGAACAUAAUUUUGUAGCUUUGAUUACUUUCAGUGGCAAUUAAUAACCGUCGGUUUAUACAGAUCAUUAAUUCGUUAAUAGUUUGCCAUCCGAAACGUUAAAUAUUUAUUAAAAAAGAAUUGCUCUAUGAAACCUCGAGAAGUACAAAUUUUUCAGUUUUCAAAAUUGUAGAUAAUUAGUUGUUGAGAUAUUGUUAAAAACUGUCGUCCGUUCAUUUUUGAAACUAUGAGAAUAGUUCAACGACCAUUCACGACCGUUAAACGAGGAAAACUGUUUAAAUAGGCAUGCGAUAAUAAAUUGAAUUAAUUAACAAAGACGAAGCGGAGUUACCAAAGACAAUAAAGUUAAUAGGGAAAAGUAACGAACACUUGUUUGUUCGAUGAACGAAACAGUUGUCAGUCGUUUAAUAAACUAAUCUGUUGAUUGUUUAAGAAGGC